rnacentral:rRNA from 1 species
UACGUAGGGUGCAAGCGUUGUCCGGAAUUAUUGGGCGUAAAGAGCUCGUAGGCGGUUUGUCGCGUCGAAUGUGAAAACCCGGGGCUCAACCCCGGGCCUGCAUUCGAUACGGGCAUCACUGGAGUUCGGCAGGGGAGACUGGAAUUCCUGGUGUAGCGGUGAAAUGCGCAGAUAUCAGGAGGAACACCGGUGGCGAAGGCGGGUCUCUGGGCCGAUACUGACGUGAGGAGCGAAAGCGUGGGGAGCGAACAGG